ensembl:lncRNA
CAACUAUUACACCCACUUCCGGUGUUUACUGCGUGAUAAAAAAUUCAAAAAUUAACGAUCGUACAGAUAAAAAAAAUCGUGACGUGUUCUGAAGACGUUUGGUUCCCCAGCGCUGGAGAGACAACUUCAUCUUUUCUCCUCUUUUGGAUGCACAACAACAACAACAUCGACAGCAAAUAAUUAUGGACUUUUAUUUGGGAAACGCAACUGCAGGAAGAUGAAGUUCUGUCUUUUGCUUUACUGGGUUUUGCUGCCAGCAGCAGAAUGUGGUUCCCAUUCUCUUGAGUUCUUGUCUACAGGACGUGUUCAGCCUGGAUCUGGGCCCCAUUUUGAACAAGUUACAGAGUUUGAUGGAGUUGUGAUCUCUCACUGUGACAGUGGGACACAACAAGAACACUUCAAACCCGUCCUGGAAUCCCACAACUUACCUGGGACCUGCAGACCAGCAUGUUAUGAUGUUUUUGAUGCUCUCAAAGCGAUUUCUAAAUUCAUCAAUCACACACGGAAUGUUCAGCGGCGGCGUGGCUGCAUCACGUCAGACGAGAGGCUUGAAUCUGCUUUUGACAACUGGGCAGUGAAUGGAGAGGGUUUCAUUCAGUUUGAUGCUGGAGCUCAGAAAUGGAAAGUCCUGUCUCCUUCUGCAGAAAUGAUUAAAGAUUUGUGGAACAGCUAUGAGGCUCAGAACCAUGUGUUUGGACACUUCAUCAAUGAAGAAUGUCCAAAAAUGAUCCAUCAGAUCAAAUUAAGAGAAGCGGAAAAAAGAACAGAUCUCCGUGUGUUUGCCAACCCUGUUGAUUUAACCAGGGCAUUGCUGAAGUGCCACGUCACAAGUACUGACAAAUCAGUGCGUUCAGUGUCUCUGACUGAAGACGGGGCCACCAAGGCAAACUGGAUCACUGUAACUGGCCCGUUGCCUUCUGGGGAUGGAUCAGUGAUCCUCAUCCUGACAGCUGAGGUCCCCCUGAUCCACACCAACAUCUAUGGCUGUGUUGUCCAAACAGAAGACAGAACCAUCACUGUCAUGUGGGGUGAGAACUUUACAUUUACAUACUGCUGCAUGAUUGUUAUUGAGUCGUGAUCCAGGCUGCACACAGGCCAGUGGGAUCUUAUUGUUGCUGGGGGGGUUCUGGUGUGUUGGGUACUCUGGUAAAAGUCCCUCAUGAAGAAGCUCUGAAACGUUCCUGGUGAUUCUCUGGUCUUCCUCCGUCUGAAAGCAGACCUUUUGGAUCUUUUCUGGCUGAGAUUACAGCAGUGUUGGUCAUUAACUCUGUCAGAAACGGCUGUUUCGAUGCUGUUGAAACUUAUUUGAGACUUAUUUUUUUGUCUCUCCACAAGGUUUUUUUUGGCCCAUUUAAUUAACAGAACAUCCAGAAAGAAACGAGCUACUACAGAGUUACAAUUUGGUACAGGCAGUGGAAUGCACAGAAUCACCCUCUGCCAGCAGGGGGCGCUGCAGCAGCUCAGCACCCACCUUUCUAUCGUCUUGGCACAGAAUUAUCAGUGCGCAACGUUGAGCUUCAGUCUGUGUCCAGGCCUCAGACAACUGUCGGCAUUUCACGUUGGUCCAGACAGUUAAUAAAUGUAACAGUUGAAAUACUCUAAAUAGAGUCAGUCACACUUUCUGUUAUUCGGAGCACAGCUUUCAAAAUAUUAAAAAUAAGUUUAUUACAAUAACACAUAUGACGACAUGCUGCAUAGAGUAAAGUAUGGCCAGUUUGGUGAUUACAAUAAUCAUGUUUUUGUUGUUUAUACUCUUUUAUGAGCAGAUGGAAACACACUUGAUGGACGACACAUCCUUUACAUCCAGAUGACGUUUUGGAGAAUUAUCGGCAUCAUCUUUACAGUUUGUUGUUUAAUCUCCGUAAUGACUCUUUUGUGUAAGUCUCACUUCUUUGAUAGUAACUUUCAAGUCAGUCUGUGAGCUGAUAUUUUACUAUUGUGGCCCUGCAUUAAUAGAAUGUUAAUGAUGUUUCUUGUGAAAUACACCUGUCAGCAUCUAUUAAUUGUUUCCUUCAUUUUAUUUCUUCAUAGUCACAAGAGAGGAAAAAGUGGUGAAGGAAACUUAACUCAUGAGUCCAUUGAAGAAUAACUGGGGGAAGAUGGAUUUUAUCCACGGAGGACUUGAGGCAGAGACGACAUCAAUGAUCCAGGAUGUUUUACUCUUCAUGCUGAAAGUGCACGUCUAUAAAGUCACAUGUGCUGUAAUAUUUGGACUGUGUUGUCAUCCAGUAGCAGAGCUUUGGGACUUAUGCUACUGACACGGUCUAACCUUCACUGACUGUCAUCUUUUUUAAGAAGCCAAGAAGGCCAAACUAUGGAAAACUUUAGCAUUUUGACGCUAAAUUCAGUGUUAAUGAUCUUGAGCUUCUUAAUCAGAGCUUAACACUCAUCUUUCAAAACUGCCGUUAAACACCUCGUAAUGCUGUCACGUUUAUGUCUGGUUUCAUUUAUUUUUGUGUUAUUUACUCAUUCAUCUCUCCUCUAUUUUGUUUGCGUCAUUAUUUAUUUUAUGUAAAACACUGGUUAACGACUGGGCAUUAUAAAAAUCUUAUGUUGUUGAAUGUAUGAUGACUUUAUUUCUGUUUCUGAAAGACUCUGAGUUGUUCUUUUAAUAAUUUAACAAAUUCAUGUGAAAACUGGUCCACUUAUAUUCUAUUGAAAAUGAUAAAUUGUUUAACAGUGUUUGGGGAAAAUAAUUUGCAGAACUUGAUAUGUGAAAUCAUUAAUAAUGGAAAAAAAAAAAGAAACUCUUAAAUGUUUGUAAAUAUUGUAUGUUUUUACUUCCUGCAAUAAAUGAAUUUUAUUUUUGUUAAGAGCCUGUGUGAUAAUGUUCAUUUUCAUUACAUGAGGAAAUGUCUGAUUAGAUGAGGUGGUUA